rnacentral:rRNA from 1 species
CCUACGGGUGGCAGCAGUGGGGAAUAUUGCACAAUGGGCGAAAGCCUGAUGCAGCAACGCCGCGUGAGCGAUGAAGGCCUUCGGGUCGUAAAGCUCUGUCCUCAAGGAAGAAAAUGACGGUACUUGCGGAGGAAGCAGCGGCUAACUACGUGCCAGCAGCCGCGGUAAUACGUAGGGGGCUAGCGUUAUCAGGAAUUACUGGGCGUAAGGGGUGCGGAGGUGGUUACUUAAGUCAGAGGUGAAAGGCUACGGCUCAACCGUAGUAAGCCUUUGAAACUGGGAAACUUGAGUGCAGGAGAGGAGAAUGGAAUUCCUAGUGUAGCGGUGAAAUGCGUAGAUAUUAGGAGGAACACCAGUUGCGAAGGCGGCUCUCUGGACUGUAACUGACACUGAGGCACGAAAGCGUGGGGAGCAAACAGGAUUAGAUACCCGGGUAGUC